AUUAGGUCAAACUAGUUCAACUAUUCUGUCUUUUUUGUUUUUCUUGCCGUGCAAAAAUUUUCUUCUUCACUUCUCAAUCACCCACCUAUAUUUUACUGAACCUGUGAUAUCUAUACAGAUUUCUGGAACAGUACUAAGAAUCAUUCCAGUUCUCCACAAUUUUCCAAUUUCGUUGUAUGAACAACAAUGGAGGCUGCCCUUUUAUCUCAAACGAUGCUCAGAAUAGCUAGCUCGUGGUGGUCCAUGAGUAUCCAUUGAGUAUAUGCUAUUUUGUAUGUUAUGACAAUAACCAGAACUCUGUAGAGAGUACGAGGUCAGUGUCAAUCAAUUUCACAUCUGUUUUCCGAUAAACCGGCUCGAAAUAAUUCAGCUGUAAAGUAAAUUGUAAAAGGAUGAAUGAUCUGCCAGCUUAACUUUGUAUUUGCUUAUACUUAAAACCAACCAUAAAUUUCUAGUA